GACGACUAGGCGUUAAUAACAUUUUAUGGUUUUCUUAAUAUAGAGGUUAUAUAAUACUUAUAUUAGUACAAUAACUAUAUGUUACAAUAGUCUAGUGGUACCUUUGUCUUGAUAAAACUAUGCAUUCUUAGGUUCGACGCCCAAAGCAUUCAAUUUUUUUUUUUUUUGGCCAUUAAAAUAAGAAGGGCAAAAUCGUAAUUUUAUUUUCAAAUCAUCUUCUUCAUCGAAACCCUAGUAGCCGCUGGUCGUCUGUGUUUUUUUAACUCAGUUUCUUUGCUAUUUCUUUCACACUUUCCAUCAUUUCUUCAUGUAAUUUAACCAAAAUAACACUAAUCUACCAUUUAUCUCUAAAUUUGUAACAAAAAGAUGAAAAUUUAAAUAGUUUUCUGUUUUGACCGAUUUUCUUUACCGACUAC
rnacentral:lncRNA from 1 species